UACGUAGGGCGCAAGCGUUAUCCGGAAUUAUUGGGCGUAAAGAGCUCGUAGGCGGUUUGUCGCGUCUGCCGUGAAAGUCCGGGGCUCAACUCCGGAUCUGCGGUGGGUACGGGCAGACUAGAGUGAUGUAGGGGGAGACUGGAAUUCCUGGUGUAGCGGUGAAAUGCGCAGAUAUCAGGAGGAGCACCGAUGGCGAAGGCAGGUCUCUGGGCAUUAACUGACGCUGAGGAGCGAAAGCAUGGGGAGCGAACAGG
rnacentral:rRNA from 1 species